rnacentral:rRNA from 1 species
GGCGAGUGAAGCGGCAAGAGCUCAAAUUUGAAAUCUGGCGCCGCGAGGCGUCCGAGUUGUAAUUUGGAGAGGCAUCUUCCGGUGGGGCCCCAGCCUAUGUUCCUUGGAACAGGACGUCAUAGAGGGUGAGAAUCCAGUUCAUGGUUGGGUGCCCCCGCCUGCAUGUAGUGUCUUCUACGAGUCGAGUUGUUUGGGAAUGCAGCUCAAAAUGGGUGGUAAAUUUCAUCUAAAGCUAAAUAUUGGCGAGAGACCGAUAGCGCACAAGUAGAGUGAUCGAAAGAUGAAAAGCACUUUGAAAAUAGAGUCAAACAGUACGUGAAAUUGUUGAAAGGGAAGCGCUUGAGACCAGACUCAGCCAAGGGCAAACAUCCUUCCUUCCGGUUGGUGCACUUGCCCAUGGCUGGGCCAGCAUCAGUUGGGACGACGGGAUAAAUGCCUGGGGAAUGUGGCUCCCCUCGGGGAGUGUUAUAGCCCCGGAUACCAUGCCGUCCGUCCCGACUGAGGACCGCGCUCCGGCUAGGAUGCUGGCGUAAUGGUCUUCAGCGACCCGUCUUGAAACACGGACCAAGGAGUCUAACAUCCAUGCGAGUGUUUGGGCUUCAAACCCUUACGCGUAAUGAAAGUGAACGGAGGUGGGAACCCCGCGAGGGGCGCACCAUCGACCGAUCCUGAUGUCUUCGGAUGGAUUUGAGUAGGAGCAUGGCUGUUGGGACCCGAAAGAUGGUGAACUAUGCCUGAAUAGGGUGAAGCCAGAGGAAACUCUGGUGGAGGCUCGCAGCGGUUCUGACGUGCAAAUCGAUCGUCAAAUUUGGGUAUAGGGGCGAAAGACUAAUCGAACCAUCUAGUAGCUGGUUCCUG